rnacentral:rRNA from 1 species
GGCGGCGUGCUUAACACAUGCAAGUCGAACGAUGAACCACCUUCGGGUGGGGAUUAGUGGCGAACGGGUGAGUAACACGUGGGCAAUCUGCCCUGCACUCUGGGACAAGCCCUGGAAACGGGGUCUAAUACCGGAUACUGACCUGCCAAGGCAUCUUGGCGGGUCGAAAGCUCCGGCGGUGCAGGAUGAGCCCGCGGCCUAUCAGCUUGUUGGUGAGGUAAUGGCUCACCAAGGCGACGACGGGUAGCCGGCCUGAGAGGGCGACCGGCCACACUGGGACUGAGACACGGCCCAGACUCCUACGGGAGGCAGCAGUGGGGAAUAUUGCACAAUGGGCGAAAGCCUGAUGCAGCGACGCCGCGUGAGGGAUGACGGCCUUCGGGUUGUAAACCUCUUUCAGCAGGGAAGAAGCGAAAGUGACGGUACCUGCAGAAGAAGCGCCGGCUAACUACGUGCCAGCAGCCGCGGUAAUACGUAGGGCGCAAGCGUUGUCCGGAAUUAUUGGGCGUAAAGAGCUCGUAGGCGGCUUGUCGCGUCGGUUGUGAAAGCCCGGGGCUUAACCCCGGGUCUGCAGUCGAUACGGGCAGGCUAGAGUUCGGUAGGGGAGAUCGGAAUUCCUGGUGUAGCGGUGAAAUGCGCAGAUAUCAGGAGGAACACCGGUGGCGAAGGCGGAUCUCUGGGCCGAUACUGACGCUGAGGAGCGAAAGCGUGGGGAGCGAACAGGAUUAGAUACCCUGGUAGUCCACGCCGUAAACGGUGGGCACUAGGUGUGGGCAACAUUCCACGUUGUCCGUGCCGCAGCUAACGCAUUAAGUGCCCCGCCUGGGGAGUACGGCCGC